rnacentral:rRNA from 1 species
GUAGUUUGACUGGGGCGGUCUCCUCCUAAAGAGUAACGGAGGAGCACGAAGGUUGGCUAAUCCUGGUCGGACAUCAGGAGGUUAGUGCAAUGGCAUAAGCCAGCUUGACUGCGAGCGUGACGGCGCGAGCAGGUGCGAAAGCAGGUCAUAGUGAUCCGGUGGUUCUGAAUGGAAGGGCCAUCGCUCAACGGAUAAAAGGUACUCCGGGGAUAACAGGCUGAUACCGCCCAAGAGUUCAUAUCGACGGCGGUGUUUGGCACCUCGAUGUCGGCUCAUCACAUCCUGGGGCUGAAGUAGGUCCCAAGGGUAUGGCUGUUCGCCAUUUAAAGUGGUACGCGAGCUGGGUUUAGAACGUCGUGAGACAGUUCGGUCCCUAUCUGCCGUGGGCGCUGGAGAACUGAGGGGGGCUGCUCCUAGUACGAGAGGACCGGAGUGGACGCAUCACUGGUGUUCGGGUUGUCAUGCCAAUGGCACUGCCCGGUAGCUAAAUGCGGAAGAGAUAAGUGCUGAAAGCAUCUAAGCACGAAACUUGCCCCGAGAUGAGUUCUCCCUGAGACUUUAGGUCUCCUGAAGGAACGUUGAAGACGACGACGUUGAUAGGCCGGGUGUGUAAGCGCAGCGAUGCGUUGAGCUAACCGGUACUAAUGAACCGUGAGGCUUAACCUUACAACGCCG